GGGGGCCGAUGCACUGUAAGAGAGUGAGUAGCAGGUCUCACAGUGAACCGGUCUCUUU
rnacentral:pre_miRNA from 2 species